UACGUAGGGUGCAAGCGUUGUCCGGAAUUAUUGGGCGUAAAGAGCUCGUAGGCGGUUUGUCGCGUCGGAUGUGAAAACCCGGGGCUCAACCCCGGGCCUGCAUUCGAUACGGGCAGACUAGAGUUCGGGAGGGGAGUCUGGAAUUCCUGGUGUAGCGGUGAAAUGCGCAGAUAUCAGGAGGAACACCGAUGGCGAAGGCAGGACUCUGGGCCACUACUGACGCUGAGAAGCGAAAGCAAGGGGAGCGAACAGG
rnacentral:rRNA from 1 species